rnacentral:rRNA from 1 species
AGAGUUUGAUCCUGGCUCAGGACGAACGCUGGCGGCGUGCCUAAUACAUGCAAGUAGAACGCUGAAGGGAGGAGCUUGCUCUUCUUGGAUGAGUUGCGAACGGGUGAGUAACGCGUAGGUAACCUGCCUUGUAGCGGGGGAUAACUAUUGGAAACGAUAGCUAAUACCGCAUAACAAUGGAUGACACAUGUCAUUUAUUUGAAAGGGGCAAUUGUUCCACUACAAGAUGGACCUGCGUUGUAUUAGCUAGUAGGUGAGGUAAUGGCUCACCUAGGCGACGAUACAUAGCCGACCUGAGAGGGUGAUCGGCCACACUGGGACUGAGACACGGCCCAGACUCCUACGGGAGGCAGCAGUAGGGAAUCUUCGGCAAUGGGGGCAACCCUGACCGAGCAACGCCGCGUGAGUGAAGAAGGUUUUCGGAUCGUAAAGCUCUGUUGUAAGUCAAGAACGGGUGUGAGAGUGGAAAGUUCACACUGUGACGGUAGCUUACCAGAAAGGGGCGGCUAACUACGUGCCAGCAGCCGCGGUAAUACGUAGGUCCCGAGCGUUGUCCGGAUUUAUUGGGCGUAAAGCGAGCGCAGGCGGUUUGAUAAGUCUGAAGUUAAAGGCUGUGGCUCAACCAUAGUUCGCUUUGGAAACUGUCAAACUUGAGUGCAGAAGGGGAGAGUGGAAUUCCAUGUGUAGCGGUGAAAUGCGUAGAUAUAUGGAGGAACACCGGUGGCGAAAGCGGCUCUCUGGUCUGUAACUGACGCUGAGGCUCGAAAGCGUGGGGAGCGAACAGGAUUAGAUACCCUGGUAGUCCACGCCGUAAACGAUGAGUGCUAGGUGUUGGAUCCUUUCCGGGAUUCAGUGCCGCAGCUAACGCAUUAAGCACUCCGCCUGGGGAGUACGACCGCAAGGUUGAAACUCAAAGGAAUUGACGGGGGCCCGCACAAGCGGUGGAGCAUGUGGUUUAAUUCGAAGCAACGCGAAGAACCUUACCAGGUCUUGACAUCCCGAUGCUAUUUCUAGAGAUAGAAAGUUACUUCGGUACAUCGGUGACAGGUGGUGCAUGGUUGUCGUCAGCUCGUGUCGUGAGAUGUUGGGUUAAGUCCCGCAACGAGCGCAACCCCUAUUGUUAGUUGCCAUCAUUCAGUUGGGCACUCUAGCGAGACUGCCGGUAAUAAACCGGAGGAAGGUGGGGAUGACGUCAAAUCAUCAUGCCCCUUAUGACCUGGGCUACACACGUGCUACAAUGGUUGGUACAACGAGUUGCGAGUCGGUGACGGCGAGCUAAUCUCUUAAAGCCAAUCUCAGUUCGGAUUGUAGGCUGCAACUCGCCUACAUGAAGUCGGAAUCGCUAGUAAUCGCGGAUCAGCACGCCGCGGUGAAUACGUUCCCGGGCCUUGUACACACCGCCCGUCACACCACGAGAGUUUGUAACACCCGAAGUCGGUGAGGUAACCUUUUGGAGCCAGCCGCCUAAGGUGGGACAGAUGAUUGGGGUGAAGUCGUAACAAGGUA